UGAGCAGAGGUUCUAGCGCAACCCUCUAUAAAAAACUAAGGAGAU
rnacentral:ncRNA from 2 species